rnacentral:rRNA from 1 species
UAGGGAAUCUUCGGCAAUGGGGGCAACCCUGACCGAGCAACGCCGCGUGAGUGAAGAAGGUUUUCGGAUCGUAAAGCUCUGUUGUAAGAGAAGAACGUGUGUGAGAGUGGAAAGUUCACACAGUGACGGUAACUUACCAGAAAGGGACGGCUAACUACGUGCCAGCAGCCGCGGUAAUACGUAGGUCCCGAGCGUUGUCCGGAUUUAUUGGGCGUAAAGCGAGCGCAGGCGGUUUAAUAAGUCUGAAGUUAAAGGCAGUGGCUUAACCAUUGUUCGCUUUGGAAACUGUUAAACGUGGGUGCAGAAGGGGAGAGUGGAAUUCCAUGUGUAGCGGUGAAAUGCGUAGAUAUAUGGAGGAACAACAGUGGCGAAAGCGGCUCUCUGGUCUGUAACUGACGCUGAGGCUCGAAAGCGUGGGGAGCAAACAGG